ACCAAUGGCCACAUACCCUAAUGCCCCCUAUGCAAGUCCACCUCCUGCUGCUCCCUACUCUGUCCAAUCUCACUUUUCUUAUCCCCAGUAUGCUGUUAAGAAAGAAACUCCUCCUGCACCUACAGGACUUGGGGGAUAUCCUUACUACAUGCCAAAACAAUGAUAAUAAACUAAAGAGCAGCAUACGGUGAGACCACAGGUUAUCACUGUUACUGUUUUAGUUUUGCAGAAUUGAGGGAAGUUAAACAGUUGAACGGUGUUUAAUUUGUUAAGUUUAAGAAAUUAUUAAUAUUGCAGUUGAUUAGUGAAUUUCUGUUUAGACAUGCGAAUUUGUGAAUGCUAUGUGGUGAAACAUGUCAAUUCACAUCAACAUUAUCACCUUGUUCUUCUUAUUCUGUUCAUCUAUGUCAAAUGCAUCUUAAAUAGUGGAUUUUUCCAUGGUGAAA